AGUGACGCUGGGCGACAGCAAUCUCCUCUGUAAACACAGUGCUAUGGAUAAUGAGCAGCUGAAUCAGCCUCCCAGGCCAGGUUGCUUGGAGGAUGGGGGUGGGAGCCAGAAGCCAGUGUUUAGCAUAGGCCUGUUCUGGAAAGAACGGGAACUGACCAACUUGUUUGUGAAACCAGAAAGAGUUAGCUUUUAAACUGAGAACAGAAAUUGGGUUUUAAAAUUAAAACACAUUUGGUUUUAUUGCUCUGGUUUUAUAUUUAGCUUGAGUGUGACCUUGACCUUCAUGGGGUUUCCACAAUAUCUUAGUUGUUCUUUCCUGUGAUUUUUGAAAAACACAAAAGAUGUAAGAAUUUGAAUUUAGCUAGAAUGUAAUACCAUAGCUGAUUUAUCUCUGUAUUGUUAAUAAAUGUCUUGCAACAAGAAGCUAAGAGGAUUCUUAGCAGCACAGAGACGUGCCAUUCAGCUGACAGAGUGCUCUCGAGGUCCUUUCUGGGCUCUGUGGAGAGCCAGACCAGCACCUGAUCGUCCUUGCAGAGCUUCCUGGCUUCCUGGACACCUUUGCUCUGAUGGUCAUGACCCUCUGAGGAUGGCCAGGGCUGUGGAACCUGUCCGCACACAGUUCUGGGAGAGAAAUGGGACCGAGGACAUCCUCCACCCAGGACAUGGGUCCGAGAGCUGUUCCUAUGAUGCAGGGGGUGGAGGAGAGAGCGAGAAUCUUCAGACACAUAUUUGCAAAUGCCUUUCCUUCGCUGGUGUCUCCCUGUUCCACUUGAUGGGAUUAGGCCCACGGCCUCUAACUCUGGGGUGGGCUGGAGGGAGGGCAUCUGGCUGGCCAGUGACAGGGCUAUGCUUCCUCCUGUCAUGCGCUUGCCUUUCUCUGGGCACACAUGCUGGAGCAGAUGAGCAGUGCAGUGUGCUGGCUGCUGGGCAGAGCCAAGCAGAGGCUCCCACGGGGAUCCCUGGCCACCACAUGUGUGUUGCCUCCCUGGCUUCAGCUGGAGUGUGGGCUCUGCCUGCUCAUGCACAACUGCAUGUGCAUUCCAAGUGGUGCCUCCCUUGGAACUGCCCAACUCCCUUGGAACUGUGUGUGGACCACAGCAGCUCUGAAGACAGAGGUCGGAAGGCUGAGCCACAUAGCAAGGAGGUGGGAAUGGGGUUCAGGCAUCUGCCCCACGCUCAGACACCCUGGGCACAGCUGAGAGGCCACACAGAGGGAGAAGAGCACUGAAUGUGCUUUUGAAAUCUCAACUAUGUAAGCUUUUAAAUCACAACAUGCCUGUAAUCCCAGCACUCUGGGAGGCUUAAAGCAGGGGGAUUGAAAGUGCAGUCUCGGCAGUUUAGCAAUUUAGCGAGACCAUGUCACAAAAUAAAAAAUUCAAAAAAGGGCUGAGGAUGUAGCUUAGUGCCCUGGAUUCAAUCUCCAGUAACAAAACACAAAACAAAGCAAUGUCCCCCUCAAAUCCAAGCCUUCCUAAUUUUUAAAAUUAUAAAUGACAUUUACAUAAUGUACUUGAAAAUCCAAUCAAUGUUAUUUUUCUUCAAAAUUAUACAAUAAAGACGUACAAACUUAAUUUUUCAUGGAAAACAAAUGCAAAGACAAUGGCUUUGUAGAUAUUUAGGACUUUUUCAAUA
rnacentral:lncRNA from 1 species